rnacentral:lncRNA from 1 species
UAGCAGAUCAGACACUCAGGUCUGGGACAACAUGUCCUGAAGGGCAUCUCUGGGUUCCCCCUCCAGGGCCCUGGGUGCUGCCCUGCCUCCUCUGCUGACGGCUGCCUACCCCUCAUCACCAGAGCAGCAGAGUUCCCUUCAGUAGCUUUCAGGGACUGGAAGGAAAGUGGGCUGCCUCUCCCCACAGAGAUUCCCAGGAAUUUGCAGUACAAGACUGCGGUUUACUAAUUCUUGGAUCAUUCAUUCAUCAUUUAAUAAUCUAUCUGCAGAGCAUGCUAAAUCCAUGGGAAAGAGAUGAGGAGGAGUUAACCCUUAAAAUCAACCUCAUGCAGAGCAGAAACAUCACCACCACGAUGGGUGAACCAGUAAGAAGUGGCUAUAACUUCUAAAGGGCUGAGCACAGCCCAGGACUGCGUCUGGGAGAGCACCAGUUGAAUUGCUCACCCCCAAAACAACACAGGAGGACAUUCAUUGGUCAGGCUCAUGCAAGUUUCCAAUCUGCUUGACUGGUAUGGCUCUUCCUACAAACCAGCUCAUCGGCAUUAUAGUCUUGAUCAGUUCUUG